CAACAAGGGAAGCAUUUAAUGGAGUUUUCUUCUGAUCUGUUUUUUUCUUUCUUCUCUUUCAGAAAUAGGAAAAAUGAGAGUGAAAACUAUAUCAGUGACUAGGAUUGUGGAGCUGCUCAGUUUUAAUAUACAGCCCACAGAUCUGGGGUCUACACUGAAAUCCCAGCUCACAGGGAGUUUCCAGUCCUCCUGGAAAAAGAUUCACUGAUGGCUCCAAAAUCAGAGCAGCUGUCCUCUCCUGCCAGGAGGGUGAAGGACCACCAUCAUCGUCACCAGCAAUGUUUCCUUAAAGCAAGUGCUGGCUGGGCACAGUGGAUGGCUCUGCGGUGGAGACAGCCUGGCCCUUAGAGCAAGAGACAGCAGCUGUAACGUCAACAAGGGACCUCUUCCAAAUCUCAUGCAGGGAUUCAUGGUCACAAAUCAUCCUCCUCUCUUGACCGACUCAGAGAGGAGACCGGCCAAGCAAGGUCUUAAAAACACUUGCUUUUCCAAAAAACAGCGGGUGCAUGCUGCCAGCGUGCCCCCACCACCAGCCUCACGCUCAUCCCUUCGCUCCUCUCCUGGGCAGACAGGUGGAGUCAUCUGCUCACACAUCCAAAACACACACAGGGCUCACAGCACUUCCUAUGGGCUCAAAAGGCUUGGAAGUUGACAUGAGUUUUUCCCCCAUUUCUGGGUGUGUUGGGGAGGCUGUUUUCAGCACAGAAGGGGCUCCCUUGGCUCGGUGCCCUCCCCUGCUCCCUCUCCCACCUCUUGUCACCUCCAUGCAUUCCUGUAGACCCAUGUGGACUUGGCCUCAAUUCUUGGUUUUUUUCUCUUGUACAUUUUUUUUUUUUUAUUCUUAUUUUUCCUCUUUUCCUUUUUGUUUUCUUUUUUUCCUUUUGUUUUAUUUUUUUACUUUUGUCUCUUUUCUUUUUCUUUUUUUCUUUUUCCCUUUUUCCUUUUUUUUCCCUUCUUUUUCUAUUUUGUCUCUUUUCCUUUUAUCUUUUCUCUUUUGUUCUUUGUUUUGGGUUUGGGGAUUUUUCCUUUUUUCUUCUUUUUUUUUUUCCUUUUUUCUUUUCUCUUUCCACCUUUCCCUUUUCUUUUUCUCUUCUCUCUUUUGUCUUCUUUCCUUUUCCUCUUUUCUCUUUUUUAUUUUUUUUCAUGUCUCUUUUAAUUUUCUCUUUUCUUUUUCCUUUUCCAUUUUCUUUUUUCUCUUUUUUUUUCUCUUUUCUCUUAUAAUUUUUCUUUUUUUCUUCUUUCUGUUUUCUGUGUUCUUUUUUCUCUUUUAUAUUUUCCUUUUUAUUUUUUAUUUUCUCUUUCUUUUUUUCUGUUUUUCUGUUAUCUUUUUUCCUUUUUUUUUGUCUUUCCUCUUUUUCCUCUUUUUCCUCUUUUUCCUCUUUUUCCUCUUUUUCCUCUUUUUCCUUUUCUCUCUCUUUUCUUUUUUCUCUUUUUUCUAUCACUUUUCCCUUUUUCCUUUUCUCUCCUUUCCUUUCUCUUUUUCAUCUUUUUUUUAAUAAUUAACUUUUAUUUUUUUAAUUUUCUUUUUAGACAUAUUUUUUCCCUUUUUUCUUUCCUCUUCUUUUUUCUUCCCUUUUUCUUUUUAAUCCACCGUUUUCUUGUGCUGCCUGUUGUCUCUUCCCUUUCCCUCCUCAGCCGGGCUGGCGGCCCCCGCAGCGAUGAGCUAAUGCGGCUCGCCGCUGGAUCCCGGAUCUGCGUGGGAGGCAGCCAGACGAUACUCGGCCGCAGCCCAGCCCAGUGCCGGCCACGGUCGGGGUCUGGCCCCAGCCUGGCGAGCAUGGGGCCACCAUGUGCCACCAGAGCCGGGGCUGGCAAGGGGCAGAUCCAGACAGCCGAGUGCUCAUUUUGCUGGUGAGGCUGGGAAGGGAUUGCAAAAGUCAGACAAGGUCUGAGGUUGUGGUUGGUCCUCUCUGAGAUGCCUUUUAACUUUGCAAACAAGCACCCCUUUGCAAAGACUGUCUCCUCAGCAAACCAGGAAGGAGCUGGGAACCUUCUUAUGGUUAAGGGAGCACCUCGUGACCACCAACAUCUGAGUUGGCCAAGCCACUCAGGAAGGGCAGCGGGCAAUGAAGGGUCCCAGUGGUUUGUAGGUGGUGCAGAGCAUCUCACAGGAGCAGGGGAGCAGGGGGAUUCAGCCACAGCGUAGUGGCUUGUACAAUGUUCACCGUAAAAGCUGGGCAGCCUUGGAGGCCCAGGCUUAUUGCUUUCUUGGCUGAUUGUGUUCUCCUCUGUUUCCAACCUUUCACUCAUGUCUGUGGCACAUCUGUCAUCCUCCAGAUGCUCAGCAGGCUGGACAAGCUUCUCUUAUAUAUUUUAACAUUGAAUUUCUUUUUUCCUGCUGCCAAACCCUGAAAUAAGGCAACUGGGUGUUAUUCCUAGGGGAUGCGAUCAGUGACAAGUCUGGGAUUGCACCAUAUCCCUUGAACUGACUUUGGAAGACAGUGGAGCGGCAGCUAAUGGAAACUCGAACGUCUUUCUCUCUCCCUCGUCUGCUCCUCUGUCUCCGCAGCAAUCGAGAUAAAGGUUAGACAUCUGUUUCAGAUCUGCUCUGUUUAACCAAAGAAAAAAACCUACUCCUGCUGUCUCGUAAAUCAUCCUGCAGCUGGAGCACAGUCCCAGCUAUUUGCUGGGGCUGUUUACCCCACCACGUCCAAUUUAUCCGGGGGUUUUGCUUUCGGAAAGGCUGCUCUUCCAGCGACCUGCCUGCUGCCAUUUUGUGAGCAGUCGCAAGAUGCUGGGCUGGGGUUAUGGCUGGGGAUCAAGGGCUGAGAAAUUAUCAUGGGUUUAGAAUUAUCUCAGGAUUUAAAGCCAUUGGAGAUGCCGUCUGGGUCAGUUCAGCUUGCAGGAGCAGCGCUCGCUUGCUGUGAGCUCCCUGCGAGAUGCUGCUCUCCAGUAGCGAGCACCCUGCCCCAUAGAACUUGGGGACACACGGGGGCUGCAAGCAAAACCAUGUGGAUUUAGUAUAGCAUCUUCUGAAUCCACUUAGCUUAUCAUCUCCUUGUUACUCACAGGUUUAACGAUUUUAGGGCUGGGAGAUGUAUUAUUUGUGUCUCGCAAGCAGGAAGCUGAAGCAAGAUGGGACCAAAGGCAAGGGCAAUGCAAACAGAAAACCCAUGGCCAAGAAAAUACCCACUCUUGCCUCUGUUAUCUGAAGGUCCUGUUUUCCAGGCUCAGCUGCUUCAAGUUUAUCUGCACCUAUGCUGAAGCACUUGGAUAUAGUCCUAAUUCCCAGGAAUGCCUGGCGUGGAAGACAUCCUUUUCCUUAAACUCUUGACCUUGCAAUGUCAACACUCGCAGUGUGGAGCAUUGCUUUGGAGUGGCAUUGCUGGAAAACCCGCUAGGCAGGUACGUGUGUACAUCUAUAUACUGGCUUCUUUUAUUGAUGUAAUAAACAUAAUACUGGCUAAUAAAAUGUGUCAGAGCCACGUUGCCUCUCCUUGUAAAGGUUUCCCAAGAAGGCUGUGAUUAAAUGCAAAGCUGUAGCCUUAAAGAGAACCUAACCAAGCAUCAAACGCUGGUGCUAUCCUAAAUUUAAGGGUCUGGCUGCAAUGCGUAACUCUGCUACAUGUCCUACUCUUCAUUUUUCUGAUACCAUCACUGUCAUAAAGUGUUGUGUCUCUGCUCUGCUGUUGUACCCUGCGGUUUUCACCGGCAGACUUGUAGCUCACUUGCACCCAAGGGCAGCGUGUUCAUCCAAAACCCUCCGAGUUUCAAGUAGAGCAAGUGAGUUUUGAGACUGGCUAUUGCAAAAGUCAUGUAAUAGUUUGUCCCAGGGACUCCCACCCUUUAGAGCAAUUAUGGAAUUGCUUUAAAUCUCUGGAAUUUUCUGGGAACAGGUUAAGCAAACUUUUCCAAGGCUGACAU